CUCUGGGUAGUGCAAUUGGUUUGCAUGUUCAGCUGCUAACUGAAAGGCUGGAGGUUCAAAUCCACCCAGAAG
rnacentral:tRNA from 1 species